GCAAGUCGAACGGUAACAGGUCCUUCGGGAUGCUGACGAGUGGCGCACGGGUGAGUAAAGCGUAGGAAAACUAUCCAGAGGUGGGGGACAACAUUCGGAAACGGAUGCUAAUACCGCAUACCUUCUAUGGAAGAAAGGCUUCGGCCGCCCUUGGCGGGUCCUGCGUCGGAUUAGUUAGUUGGUGGGGUAAUGGCUUACCAAGACGGCGAUCCGUAGCUGGUCUGAGAGGAUGAGC
rnacentral:rRNA from 1 species